GACGAACGCUGGCGGCGUGCCUAAUACAUGCAAGUCGAGCGAAGUUUUUCUGGUGCUUGCACCGGAAAAACUUAGCGGCGAACGGGUGAGUAACACGUAAAGAACCUGCCUCAUAGACUGGGACCACUAUUGGAAACGAUAGCUAAUACCGGAUAAUAGCAUUACCUGCAUGGUUGAUGUUUAAAAGUUGGUUUUGCUAACACUAUGAGAUGGCUUUGCGGUGCAUUAGCUAGUUGGUGGGGUAAAGGCCUACCAAGGCGACGAUGCAUAGCCGACCUGAGAGGGUGAUCGGCCACACUGGGACUGAGACACGGCCCAGACUCCUACGGGAGGCAGCAGUAGGGAAUCUUCCGCAAUGGGCGAAAGCCUGACGGAGCAACGCCGCGUGAGUGAAGAAGGAUUUCGGUUCGUAAAGCUCUGUUGUUAGGGAAGAAUGAUUGUGUAGUAACUAUACACAGUAGAGACGGUACCUAACCAGAAAGCCACGGCUAACUACGUG
rnacentral:rRNA from 1 species